rnacentral:lncRNA from 1 species
CUUACCUCUACUCCAUCAUCAAAUGAUUUGGGGAAGAAAAUAGCUUUCUGCAUUCCUCUUGCAAUUCAGGAUCACAAAUGCAGAAAUUCAGAAUGCUGCACAAAACAGAGCUUCACCAUUGGCCUGGGAACUGCAUUGUAGGAUUUCAGUCUGUAAGAGACACUUUCUAGAAGCAAGUAAUAUCUAGUGUCUAUUGCAUCUAACAUGCCAGUGGGGAGAAAGAUUUCCUCAAAACUGUAACUAAGCUAGAAAUUCCCUACCUGAUUUGGCAGAAAGGAAGAGUUAUUUAGAAAUAUUUGCAUAACUAGCUUUUGGUAAGCUUUUUUGAAACUGUUUUACAUUAUUCAUAGAUAAUGUGACCAAUGCUAUGAACUCUGGAUUCCCAGAAAUUAACACAUUUGAUGAUGGAGUAGAGGUAAGCCUAGAAAAAGGUUUCUUAUCUUUCUCCUCAUCUGACAUCUCAUUCCCAAAUACAGUUAUUUUGUCUCCAUAAUGUCUUUCUGUACUUUUGCAGCCAUAUUAGUAACAUAUGGCACUGCUUUCAAGUUGGUUUUGCUUUUAGGAUCCUUGUUUAGAGAUACUACCUUAUAUUACUUUACAUUUGUGGACCCUUUUUAGGUAGCCCAUGGACCUCCUGAUAAGCGUAGACAACAGCUGAGAAAUGACUGCAGUAAUCUUACUCAGUGAAAGGCGCCUAUUCUGAUAUUGUGUGAAUAGUGUGAAAUGCAGGAAAUGCCACCUUUUCCUUGUGCUAGUUGAAGGUCCCAAGCUUACAUUAUUUAGCUGUGGAGACACUUCCAUAUAGGUCUCCAUACAUUAGUCAGGUAGGAAUGGGGCUUGAAAAGCAACACUCAACACAAAGGAAUGAGAUGCCAUUGCACAAGGUAUAUCAAAUGUAAUUUUUGCAGUUUUGGCUGAGGAAAAUCUUCCUACAGAUUUAAAAACUCACUACUAUCUCACUGGAAAUGCAGUCACUAAGUGACCAAAUAUUAUUGGAGAGCAGGAAACAUUGCUUUGACUACAGUACGUACUACCAAAAGCUGGAUAAUUGCUUCAGAGAAUAUAUCCCAUAUAGGUAUAGUUUCUUUCUUCCCAGUAUUUACCCAAAGGAACUUCUUGCUUAUUAAAGCAUAUUCUUGAAUAAAAAGCAUAAUCUUGAAUAAAAAGACAUUUAACUGAAUUAGAAUAAGCUUUAAGCUAUUGCUUUCUGUCAUUUAAAACAAUAUAUAAGAAAACAAAAU